rnacentral:lncRNA from 1 species
AUACAACAGAUAGAGUCUCGAAAUUCAUUGUAUCCUCGACGAAGAACUUCAACUCUGCAGCUCUCUUUGCGCUGCCGAACCUAACUACAGGAGCUCUAGUCAUCCCAUCUCUAAACAAAACACUGGUAGCGCCACCGGAAACAUAAAUGGCUUUACAACCCCUGUUAGUACUAGCAACUAAACAUCCUUCUGUGGUUGCCAUUGGCACAGAAAACUCAUUCCCAUUAAGCAGCAAAGGUCCAGCUAUUCCCACUGGUAUUUGAAUAUACCCAAUUGGCAUCUCACAACACUGUCCAAGAAUUGAUUCAUAAUCAAAUCCAUCUAAUGGUAACCCAUCCAAUGACUUCCCUGAACUCCUCUGUAACGCCUCUUUUCGAAUAAAAGCAGCUCUUUUACAGUCACCCAACUUAGAUUCCAAUGAAUAUGAUGGUAUUCUCCCUUCCACCACCGAUUUGAUAAUCACCUCAUCGUCCUCUAACGAAAAUGGUGUGAUUAUCUGAGCAUCUUUUUCAUCAACAGGUACAGAUUUCAUUGGGAUAUUUCGUCGAACAGGUGGUGAUGUAACAGUUGUAUCAAUAAAUUGUUCUGGGGUUUCAUCUUCAACGUCCCAAGAAUCAUUAUUUCCUUUAGAAACGAAAGAUUGAACAAACCCAAUACCAAAGAACCCCAACAGAUAAAUAACUGAAGCGAUCAACGAAAAGAUAGCAACUAAUUCAGAAAAGUUGAGCACGUGGAGUGGAAUUCCAUUACGGAUCUUCUCACGCCAUCUGUGUAGAAGAAAAUACAUGACAGAGAAAAACAUGGUGAAGAACAAACCAUUUGUAAGAUACAACGGUAAUGGAAGAGCAUCUGAAGCUUUAACAGAGGAAUCUUGAUUAUGGGGUCUGAGAGGUUCUCCGGAGGAAAUGUGUUUGGAAGCGUCAAGGGGUUUUACAGCUCGCCGGCGAACGUCCAUCGUGAAAAUUUUCCGGUCGCCGGAAUUUACAGAGAAGAAAUGGAGAAAUGUGAGGAAGUAUUGUGAGUGUUGAAGCUGUUGUAUCGGAAAUGCAUUUAUAGCCCAAAAAAACAUCGGCUGGAGUUCUUGACUUUUAUGGCCACACUUUAAAUUAAAAUUUUUACUUUUUUUUUUAGAAAAAAAAAUAAUUUUGUCUAUUGGUAAAAAAAAAAAUAUUUUUUUCAUAAAUUACGUUUGCCUAUCAAUUUUGGCGUCAACAAUUUAGUUCAUUAGGUCUUUUAGUUUUGUUUGUGAUUUAUCAUAUAUUGAAUCUAUUUAUCUAUAAUAAUUCUCACAUCGGCGUUACCUCAUUCUGACAAAUUAGUAAAUUUUUUUUUUCUUUUUCUUCUUCAUUUUACUGCUUAAUGUUUAUUAUCGUUAAGGUUAUUUAUAGCUUUAUUAGUUUACAGAAUGUCUUUUUUUAUACAACCGAUGAUCUUUACUUAUAUUUAACUACUUUUAAGCUAAUUACUUUCAAUUGUAACCUUAGUGAUGAUUCCUUCUAUAUUUACAUUCACCUUCACUACCUACAUAUGUUAUUAUACUUUCAAUUAAUUGCAUGACGUUGAAUUUAUGGCUUCUUUGUUAAUUCUCUCUUUUCUUUUAUUGUAUAUGUGAUAUCAUUCGAGUUCGCUAUGAACUCUCGCCUUCCCUCUGCAUUUCGAGAGAGAACUAUCAAGGCUCGAAAUUCCUUAUCAAGUCAAUCUGUCACCCAAACCUACGAAUGGAUGUCAAAAUGUUUAGAAUUUGAAGAAUUCAAAACAAGUUGGAAGAGUUGAAAAACUUGGGGCAAUUAACCCAAGUUUAUUUUUAAAUUAUCGCAUUGUAUUUAUUUUGGGCAUAAGCCCUUGUUGCUUUUCUAUAUUCUCUAUUUUUUUAUUAUCAUUUAGUCUAGCACAGGUACGAAAGAAAGUCAAAUGGGUCAAAAACCCAAAAUAGGUGGGUCCAAAAUUCUGAUCAAGGCGAACAGAAAAUCAAGAUUUGGACCCAAAUCUCUCUCCCUCUUUAUAUGUUUUUCAAUUAUUUGUUGUUUUGUUUGUCGCUAGUUUAAAGUUAGAGUAAUCCGUAUCCCCACAAAACGCCACUUUAGUUUUAACGAUUCGAUCAAAUAAAGUAAAUGGCUUAAAAGAUUUUACAAAUUAAAACUCAUUUAGAAAAAUAAUUUUUCACUUUCAAAACAAUCUUAAUGAUUUUUGACAUUCAUUUUCAAACAACUCCAAGAAAUAUCUGAUCACAAUUUUAAAUUUUAGCCAAGUUAAGUUAGUUAUCGAUAACCGCAAGUUAGCGGAUAUUUUAGGGGCCUAACACAUUCCUAAAAUAUUAAUGUGAAUCCAGGACUCCCCUAAAAAAUGUUUUCAAAUGAUUUUAUCUGUAUAAGUCUUUUAGAAACGUUAUUUUUCUUGAUUUUUCUCAAUAAUUAAGUGGCGACUCUAAAAGUAAAAAAUUUUCAAAACAAAUAAUAUUUUUCGAUAAAACAGAAAUGGCGACUCUGCUGGGUAGAUUGGAGGAUUCUAACUUUAAAAACUAACUUUAUUUGGCUGUUUGUAAUAUUUGUUUAUUUAUUUACUUUACCUUAUUGUUUAAUUGUUGCAUUUUCAUGACAUUUUUCCGUCAAAGGACAAAUAAAUGCAUUAGGAAAACGAAAGUUAUGUGGCUUUCCACGGCUUUCUUUAGAAAUACACAAAAAAAUUCAUUUAGAAGUAUCAAACAAAUAGUUGGAAUGCGGUCAUCCGACAUUGUUUGGUAGCUUCACCCCGAGGUUUGUCCGACUCGGGUAACCGUCAACUUGAAAUCUAUUCUAGUAAGACUAAGCUAGAACGAAAUCAAAACCAAAAAUUAAGCAUUAGCCUAAGAUGACUUAAUAUCCAAGCUGUAUUAAGUCUAUUUAGUAGAAACCCACCAAAAUUGUAUCUAAGGUCUCCGACCUAACGACACAUCAUUUUAUCUAACAUUUGAAUUAUGUACGUGUGAAAAGCAAUUUGGGGUGGGUAAACCUAACUAGUUUCUAUUUUGUUGAUAUGGAUCGUUUCCCAAAGUUUGACGUGGUCAUAGCAGCACCACCUCAACUCACAAUGUGGUAUAAUAAUCUCGAUGUAAAUCAUAAAAAAACUCUCAACAAAUACGUGGAUGCAUUGACAGAAUUGAUCAACAUGAACGGUUGAUCAGAAUUAGUUGAGGUCCUCACGGGAUAUUGGGUGGGAUAGCCAACGAAUGGUGUUCUAAUUUGGAACCGUUGAAAUUACCCUGACUUUGGAGGAGAUCAGAGACUGCAUAGACACAGUAAGUACUGGGAUAGAAAGAAAGGCAAGGAAACAAGAAGACAUUGUCAUCCCUAAUAAACCUUUUAUAGAAGAUAUUGCGGACCGACUCGAAUCGGAGAAAGACUUUGUCUACUAGUGCCAAGAAUCCCACAUAGCAUUCAGAGAUCUUUAUAUCACAUUUGACAUGCGAGCUUCUACGCCAUUUAUAACCGAGAGUUCAAGGUCUCUUACAGAGAAUGGAACAAAAUUUGUCCUCUAACAUUUGUUGUAGCGUUGUUAGGAACGAUGGUCUUUCCGCAUGGCCCAAGUCUGAGUUUCAAUACUCGAGUUAUAACACUCACGCACACUCUAUUCAAAGGGAACGAGAACCGAGGAAUAACAAAAUACUACCCUAUAGCUCUGGUCAUCCUGUCCGACAUGUAUGGAGCCUUGGAAAAGUGUAAUGAGGGACAUCGAAUGCAUCCUUUCGAGUCUUGCAACAGUUCGGGAGGAGACAAACUGUACCCAAGAAGGCGUACUAUGGAGCUUAUGUAUAUGAUAUUAGAGAUGAUAGAGUGCACGACACGUCUGAAAUGUUCAGGGAAUGGAAAAGUGCCAAGCGAAUGGAUAAAACUACCAUCUCCCCAGACUGAUCCAAAGCUGGAUACGAUGAGGGUUACAAAAAAUGGUUGAAAAAAGACAUACAAAGUAUGUCCUCCCCAACCCCACGCAGCUUUUGCAGCAUUACAGACAAAGAAGCCAAGGCAGUGGCUGAGCUACAACAGGUAAAAAAGAGGCCAAGAAGUGUGCGCUAAGUUUGUCGAGAACCAAGAUACUCUUGAGAAGGCGACUCAAGAGGUGGAAAGACUAAGGCGCGGUUAUGAUGAUUUCGAUACCUGGGUUAAGCAGAAAAUUGAGAGGAUGCAAUACGAAAGCUUGGUAGACAAAGGACGCCUGGGUGGAGGAUUCUUGCUGAUGCUAAGUUAUAUGUUUCAGCAAUACAAAACUCAGGGGGACGGCGACGGAGCGGGACCAUCAGGCACAGCAUAGAGAAUUUUUGAAUUUCUAAGGAAGAAGAUGAAUAAUCCCCCAAGGGAGGAAGAAAAGAAGAGAGAGAAGAGAGGAAGGAAGAUGAAAAGAUUUUUUUCUUUUAAAUGAUUUGGUUUGAGUUAUAAAAGUGUGUUUUUUUGUAUUUUAUAAAAGAUUAGAAAGUUUUGAAAAUGUUAAUUUGAUCUCAUAAUUAGUUAAUUACAUUUUAAAGAGGAUUUGACCAGCUCUUGGUCAAUCUGUCAUCAAAAACAAAAAUGAGACUUAUUUGAUACCUUUCCUUUAAUUUUCUCGAAAAAAUGUGCAUGCAUUUGAUUAUUUAUGCAUUUUAUUUAUAUAUUGUUUGGUUUGUAAAUAGAAAAAAAAUUAUGCAUAUAUUAUUUUCGUUCCUCCCUUGAUUCUUCUCUCAUAAGAUAUUUAUCUCUAUACCAUAUUUGUUCAUGAUUUGAGGUUCGCUUAUGGCGUAUUUCUCAAAUUAGAAUAUUUGAUUUUGAUCUCUCUAUGUAUAUUUCAUAAAUUUAUAAAAUAUUUGACAUUUCAAUCUCUUUAUGAAAUUACAAUUAAUAUCUAUUCCAUAAUUAUAGUAAAUUUUCUCUACAUUGUUUAUAUUCAUCAUAUAUAUUAUCAAUAAUAUAAUAUAACACACUAUUACUUUCAUGUAAUAUAAUACUAUUAUAGUUUUCAUAAUAUGCUUAUCUAAAUAAUUUUAGAAUAUGUAUUUGGCUAUAUUCAAUGUACAUAAUUAUAAUAAUAAUAAUAACAAUAAUAAUAAUAAUAAUAAUAAUAACAAUGCACAUUAAAUUUAGAUACACAUAAUAUUUGAGUUGAGUUCAAGUAACAAUAUCCUAAUUUAUUUAGGAGGUUAAAAUAAUUCUGAUCAUAGUAGAAUAUUGAAUGAUCAAACACGCCCCCACCGUCUAAUCAAUACUAUUUUGAGGAUAUCAAACCUUUACAAGAUAAGGGGAAAAAGUAGCUGGGUUGUAUGUGUUCCAAUCAACCUGUUCUGUAGGACCAAAUUUUGGAAUAUUUGGACCACUCUCAAUUAUGAUGACAUGUUGUAGGGUUACAAUCUUAGCAUUUUGAAGCAAUUGUCCAAUAUAUUACUAUAUUAUAUUAAUAUUAGAAAGUACCAAACUUAUCACAAUAGGUGACAUUUGAAUGAAAGUGAUUUUCAAAGGCAAAGGAAGUUUCCCUACAAAAGAAAAGUUUGUUCAAAUAAUGACUCUAAUUUAAUCGAGAUAAAAUCACUAAAUAAUUUUUUGUACCAUAAUAAUAAUAUUUAUUCAAUAAUUUUUUGUUCGAAACGAAAAAUGGAUAAACAUGCACUUGUACUCGAAAGUAAUAAAAAAGUAACAAAAAAAUACAUAAUGAAUACAAAUGGAAGUUGAUGAAGAGGAAAUGAAACAUCCUGGUAUAAUCGUGAUGUAGGAUGCUUUGUGGAUCGGACUUUUUCCUUUUUUUUAAAUACCAAUAUGGACCACAAUAUAAUGAUCAGCCAAUAUAUAUAUUUUUCCAACAAUUAUUUUUUUAUUUUGGCUAGUGCUACUAUAAUCUCCUGUCAUAGUUGUCCCAUGGAAAAGAAAAUUUUCUUCCCAUCUUAAUUGGAAACUUUAAUCCAAUAUUAUACACUAAUAAAAAGUAAGUGUGUCCAACAUGCUAGACUAAACUUGUUUGAUACAAGCAGUACAUGUAUACUGUAUUGGAACUAUUAAGAUCGUUUGUUCAAAAGUUACUCAUUAGUCAAUGAUAUCUAGUAACACCUUUCGUCUUUUUUUUUUUUUCUGACUUAUAGUUGCUAAAGACAUUGAGAAAAGUCUACCAAAUUGUCCCACAUCGCCAAUAUAUGAAACAUUUUUGUGUUUAUAUGAAUUGAUAACUUGGUGUAAGAAUGUGUUCGUAGAAAGGAGAGAUGGUUGGCAUCUCCCCCGACAGGGACGGGAACAGCCUUCGGGCUUUACCUGUUAUCAGACACAUCCGGUUAAGGCUACCCACUUUGGUGGAUCUUACCCAAUUUUUUGGUGUUAGAAACUAAUUAUAUCAUAUCAUCACUCGUUUAACGUUUUGGUAUAUCGCUAAUUACAUAUUCAAUGUAUGCUUCGAGAUGUAUUUUAAUAAAUAAAUGACGAUAAUUAAGAUAAAAAGUACUUGUUAACUAUCUAUUUUAAAUGUUUCAAAUAAUUAACACCGAUUUAGUAGAGUCAUAAAUGUGAAUUUUAAAUUAUAUGGUGAAUGAACUGAAUGAUUCAUAUAAGUAAUGACGAAAUCAAAAUUUAUGUCAGAAAAUUCAAGUAUAAGAAAAUAAUCACGAGAAUAAGAAACUAAAACAAUUAUAUAUUUAUACACACAUUCAAUCCUAGAUGAUUUUGUCAAACUCAUGCAUGGCAGCACGUUUAAGGUAGUCUUAUAAAAAUUAUGAUUUUCUGUAUUUAAUUUAUUUAAUUGACAUCGAUUUAUUAAAAAAAUUAUAUUAUACAUACAAAUAAUAUAUUUAAUUACAUAAAUUAAAUAUAGUCGAUUUUCAAUACGAUAAUUGUCAAAUAAUGGGGUACAUUUCAAUAAUGAAUUUUAAGUAAAUAUUAGCAUUUUUCAAGUAUCUGACAAGAGAAAGUAUUUUUAUUUAAAAAGAUAAAAACACUACGUGCAAAGCAAAACAAUACCAAUAUUGAGAUGCCAUUUUAAUUUUUGGCCCUAAAUUACAAAGUAAUAGUACACAUAUUGAAACUUAAUAAUACCAACUACUUUAUCCCCACACAUCUUUUUUUUUGAAAAAAUAUUUGCAUAUAUUAAUACAUACAACAUAGCAUACAGAUCAUCUUGUCUCCAAUAAUAUGAAAAUAUUAAUCCUUAUUCAAAGAUGAUGAUGAUUAUAUAUAUAUUUCAAGAAAAUCUGUACAAUUUUGAAGCAUUAGCUGUGUUGUUGCAUAUUACUUUGUGACAUCUUUGCAUGAUCUAUUGUAUUUCAUGUGGCUCUUAACAAGUUGCCCAGCUGAGAUAGCUGACAUGAGGGAUAGCUCACCCGCGAGAACCGAACCUGCUACUAUUGUGGCCAAAAGCCUUGCAUUUGACCCUGGUGCCUCUCUGUUGGCACCUUUCACUCCUAAUAAGUUCAAGCAAGCUGAUUGCGAUGCUAGUUGAGUUCCUCCUCCUACUGUACCCACCUGAUAAAUCACAACGACAUGCAUAAUAAGUAUCACGAAGAAACUCAUGCUUCCAUGACCUAGUUUUAGUAGUACCAACAACAACAACGACAUACCUAGUGUAGAGUGUACACAAACUUAGGCGUAGAGAGGUUGUUUUCGAUAAAGGCAUAAAGGACUCGUAUAGACAGCUAUAACUUCCUUGGGGUUUGACGCAUAGUUGAUUUAAAACUCCAUUAAAUGAUAUCGUUAAAACCGUCACAUGUAAAAGUUUGGGGUGGAAAGACGGUGUACCAAGAAUAUAACGAUAAGUAGCAAUAUGUUUAAUGCGUACCUCAAUUGAAGGCAUGGUGACGGAUAUAUGGAGGUCCUUGCCAUCAUUUACAGCCUCCAUCAUAGUGAUGCAGUGCGAGCUUUCAAUAUUUUGAGCCGGGUCUUGGCCAGUGGCUAAAUAUACAGCUGAGACAAUAUUGCUGGCAUGGGCAUUGAAGCCACCAAGUGCACCAGCCAUGGCAGAGCCAGUGAGGUUUUUAAGCAUGUUCAGCUCAACUAGAGCAGCAACCUCAGUUUUCAGAACUUUCUUCACCACCUCUUCCUUGAUGAUUGCCUCACAAACUACCGACUUUCCUCUCCCCUCAAUCCAAUUAACUGCUGCUGGUUUCUUGUCCGAGCAAUAGUUCCCUGUCAUAGUUCAACAAUUCCAAUUAAUAAGUGUCUAUAGAUCAUGGGAAUAAAAAGAAGAAAAAAAACUAGGUGUGCAGUAGUUGAGGCUUGUUGUUACAUUACAUUGGCAUUAGGUAGUAUGUAAAUCAAGUAUACAUGAAAAACCAAUUGACGCAGGGUAUCAAAAAGGAUUUUUCUUUUUAGAAAAAGGUAGGUGGAGUACCAGAUAUGCCGAUGAUGUCCAUGUCGGGGUACUCAUUCUGAAGGUAAUCAAGAACGUUUUGUACACCUUUGGAAACCAUGUUCAUUCCCAUCGCGUCACCAGUGCUACAGCUAAACCUCAUGUAUAGAUUCUUUCCAGCUAUUGCACAUUGAAUGUUCUGUAAUCUGGCAAAUCUGCUUGAUCUGUAAAGUCCAAAUCAAAAACAAAGUUAUACAACUAGUAUUGGAUGUCGAAUGAUGACAGGCUGAUUCCAAAAAUCAUAGAUUUAUCCAAGGAAACGAAAAUGACAGAUAUUGAAGUAACAGACAAAUCUAAUAAAAUCAUUAAGAAACAAAAAAUGGCUCCAUUCACUGAACACAUCAACAUCAAUCGAUCUUCAAAAGGAAAACGCAUUAAGAAAAGAUGUCCGAGAUAUUAGUCAACAAUAGAAGAAAGAAGGGAAGAUUCAGAUGUUCUCAUCUACCAUACUGUUUGAACACUUCCGUGGUAACUUUCAUCAACUACAAAGCAAAAUACUACUCUCUUUCAAUUCGUUUGCUUGAUUUUGACUAACACGAGUUUAAGAGAGAGAAAAAGAACUUAUAAAUCACGUGAACUAAAGAAAUGUCGAAUGUACCAAAAUGCCCUUAGAAUUAACGAGUUGCCAAAAAAUGAAAGAGCCGUUACAGACUAAAUAGGAAAGCAAGACAAACAAAUUGAAAUGUAGGGAGUAUAUACAUUUUACUUUAUACCAUUUUGAAGAUCAACUCCUGGACUUGAAUAUGAUGAUAUUUCUAUACUUUUAACCAUAAUUUAAUACUUUUUCAUAACUAUUAUGAUAUAUAAGUCAAAUUUAAGGGAUUACUAUGAUUCUAUUAGCUUCAUAGCAAAAGAUAAAUUCAGUAAAAUGAGUAUAAUCAUAUUAAAAAUCAAAACUUGAACACGAAGAAGAACGAGAACACUCACUUAUUGAAAACAACAGAUAGAGUCUCGAAAUUCAUUGUAUCCUCGACGAAGAACUUCAACUCCGCAGCUCUCUUUGCGCUGCCGAACCUAACUACAGGAGCUCUAGUCAUCCCAUCUCUAAACAAAACACUCGUAGCGCCACCGGAAACAUAAAUGGCUUUACAACCCCUGUUAGUACUAGCAACUAAACAUCCUUCUGUGGUUGCCAUUGGUACAGAAAAUUCAUUCCCAUUAAGCAGCAAAGGUCCAGCUAUUCCCACUGGUAUUUGAAUAUACCCAAUUGGCAUCUCACAACACUGUCCAAGAAUUGAUUCAUAAUCAAAUCCAUCUAAUGGUAACCCAUCCAAUGACUUCCCUGAAGUCCUCUGUAACGCCUCUUUUCGAAUAAAAGCAGCUCUUUUACAGUCACCCAACUUAGAUUCCAAUGAAUAUGAUGGUAUUCUCCCUUCCACCACCGAUUUGAUAACCACCUCAUCAUCCUCUCCAGAAAAUGGUGUGAUUAUCUGAGCAGCGUUUUCGUCAACAGGUACAGAUUUCAUUGGGAUAUUUCGUCGAACAGGUGGUGAUGUAACAGUUGCAUCAAUAAAUUGUUCUGGGGUUUCAUCUUCAACGUCCCAAGAAUCAUUAUUUCCUUUAGAAACGAAAGAUUGAACAAACCCAAUACCAAAGAACCCCAACAGAUAAAUAACUGAAGCGAUCAACGAAA